AUGGCAACAGCACUUGCUGGCCAGCAGCAGGAGAAAUGGAACAGAUCGUUCAGACCAGAGGCACCUGACCGCUGGCACCAGGCUACAGACCAUCUGGAGGAACAGCUGACCCUGUGGGCAAGGACCGGAAUCAUGAGCCACAGAAUUUCACCGAAAGUCUGCCCUUUGAUGGUGUCUAUGGAACACUUACUUCUUCCUCCAUCAUCACCAAGCAGCACCCUGUGUUCUGGCCCAGGACAGGGAACUCUCAUUUGCACGAAAAAAGCUUUGCACAUCGUCGAGCUGGUUGGCAGGGCUCUGCCCAGAGAUGAAGUUAUGGACGGCUGUUUAUAAGAGACAAAUCAGAGCCUGCUUCAGAACCCAAGACCAGAAGCCAGCCCAUCACCUGCUCACUUGGUGGCCUUGUUCACCUCUUCAUGUUUCAGCUUCUCCGACUGUUGGUGGGCAGAGUGACACAAUGCCCUGUUCUCAGGGUUGUGGACAUCUCUGUAAAGCAUCAAUGCUAGAAAGGGCUGAAAGCCUUCCUGCUUCCCUUAUGUGAUAAGACAGACCCUUAUCUGAUGCCUUAAAAAUUUCAGAACAUUUUUUUUAAAGAAGGAAAUUAACUUAUGCCUGGAAAAGUCAUUGUGUUUCUCUAUUCACUGGUUGCUGGUAUUUCAUGAAACCUCUUGGGUCAGGUGGACCUAAUGAUUCAUUUUAAUGUAAACAAACAUGAAGAUGCACGGGAGAAUGUUAUUGGUAGCAGG
rnacentral:lncRNA from 1 species